CCUACGGGUGGCUGCAGUGGGGAAUAUUGGACAAUGGGCGAAAGCCUGAUCCAGCCAUGCCGCGUGUGUGAAGAAGGCCUUCGGGUUGUAAAGCACUUUCAGUGGGGAAGAAAGCCUUGGGGCUAAUACCCUCGAGGAAGGACAUCACCCACAGAAGAAGCACCGGCUAACUCCGUGCCAGCAGCCGCGGUAAUACGGAGGGUGCGAGCGUUAAUCGGAAUUACUGGGCGUAAGGCGCGCGUAGGCGGUCUGAUAAGCCGGUUGUGAAAGCCCCGGGCUCAACCUGGGAACGGCAUCCGGAACUGUCAGGCUAGAGUGCAGGAGAGGAAGGUAGAAGUCCCGGUGUAGCGGUGAAAUGCGUAGAGAUCGGGAGGAAUACCAGUGGCGAAGGCGGCCUUCUGGACUGACACUGACGCUGAGGUGCGAAAGCGUGGGUAGCAAACAGGAUUAGAUACCCGUGUAGUC
rnacentral:rRNA from 1 species